rnacentral:rRNA from 1 species
GGUUUGAUUAUAGCUCAGAUUGAACGCUGGCGGGAUGCUUUACAUGCAAGUCGGAGCAGCGGCACGGACUUCGGUCUGGUGGCUGAGUGGCGAACGGGUGAGUAAUGUAUCGGAGACGUGCUGCCACAAGUAGCGAAGUGGAUAACUGCAUGGCCAACUAAUACCGCAUACCGCCCUUCGGGGAAAGCGGGGGACCUUCGGGCCUCGCACUAUUAGAAACGGCCGAUAUCGGAUUAGCUAGUUGGUGGAGUAACAGCUCACCAAGGCGACGUCCGUAGCUGGUUUAGAGGACGACCAGCCACACUGGGACUGAGACACGGCCCAGACUCCACGGGAGGCAGCAGUGGGGAAUUUUGGACAAUGGGGAAACCCUGAUCCAGCCAUCGCGUGUGCGAUGAAGGCCUUCGGGUUGUAAAAGCACUUUUGGCAGGAAAGAAACGGCACGGGAUAAUACCCCGUGCGCUGACAGUACCUGCAGAAUAGCGCAAGCUAACUACGUGCCAGCAGCCGCGGUAAUACGUAGGGUGCAAGCGUUAAUCGGAAUUACUGGGCGUAAACGUGCAGGCGGUUCGGAAAGAAGAUGUGAAAUCCCAAACUUAACUUUGGAACUGCAUUUUUAACUACCGAAAAACUGAGUGUACAUGAGGGAGGUGGAAUUCCGCGUGUAGCAGUGAAAUGCGUAGAUAUGCGGAGGAACACCGAUGGCGAGGCAGCCUCCUGGGAUAACACUGACGCUCAUGCAAAGCGUGGGGAGCAAACAGGAUAGAUACCCUGGUAGUCCACGCCUAAACGAUGUCAACUAGCUGUUUGACCUUCGGACCUUGGUAGCGCGGCUAACGCGUGAAGUUGACCGCCUGGGAAAUACGGUCGCAAGAUUAAAACUCAAAGAAAUUGACGGGGACCCGCACAAGCGGUGGAUGAUGUGGAUUAAUUCGAUGCAACGAAAACCUUUACCGCCGAACAUGUCUGGAAUCCCGAAGAGAUUUGGGAGUGCUCGCAAGAGAACCGGAUUUCAGGUGCUGCAUGGCUGUCGUCAGCUCGUGUCGUGAGAUGUUGGGUUAAGUCGCAACGAGCGCAACCCUUGUCAUUAGUUGCUACGAAAGGGCACUCUAAUGAGACUGCCGGUGACAAACCGGAGGAAGGUGGGGAUGACGUCAAGUCCUCAUGGCCUAUGGGUAGGGCUUCACACGUCAUACAAUGGUCGGGACAGAGGGUCGCCAACCCGCGAGGGGGAGCCAAUCCCAGAAACCCGAUCCCGUAGUCCUGAUCGCAGUCUGCAACUCCGACUGCGUGAAGUCAGAGCUCGCUAAUAAUCGCGGAUCAGCAUGUCGCGGUGAAUUUACGUUCCCGGGUCUUGUACACACCGCCCGUCACACCAUGGGAGUGGGUUUACCAAGUAGUUGGCUAGCCGUAAGAGGGCGAUUACCACGGUAGGAUUCAUGACUGGGGUGAAGUCGUAACAAGGUAA